rnacentral:tmRNA from 1 species
GGGGGUGUCAAGGAUUUCGACCGGGAUAAGGUAUCGGUAGUGUAAGCAAGUAGUGGUUAGACGAAGGGCCACUAUAAAAAUCGUCUAAAAUCAUAAUUGCUAAAAAUAGCGACUAUACUCUUAAUAACGCUGCAAUAGCAGCGUAAUUUAAGCACGGUGCCUGCGACGCCUGAUAAACAGGAAACCGUGUCAUCUUAUCAGGCUCAACCAAAUCAUUUCCCAUUAAUGAUGCGGCGAACUUUUAAAUGGGUAGCGGAGUGUGAGCUCGUCAGUUAGCAAGACCACCCCCGCGAGACAAUAAAAUCUGACUAAACUUGUAGAAAGCUAUUGGUCCAGUCUUUGGGACGCGGGUUCGAUUCCCGCCACCUCCACCA